ensembl:lncRNA
AAGGGAAAGGGAAAGGGAAAGGGAAAGGGAAAGGGAAAGGGAAAGGGAAAGGGAAAGGGAAAGGGAAAGGGGAAGGGAAAGGGAAAGGGGAAGGGGAAGGGGAAGGGGAAGGGGAAGGGAAAAGCUCCAGGGAGACCUCAUUGCAGCCUUCCAGUACUUGAAGGGAGCGUACGGAAGGAGGAACACUUGUUUACAUGUGUUGGUAGUGAUAGGACAAGGGGGAAUGGUUUUAAACUAAGAAAGUUUUUCACUCAGAGGGUGGUGAGUCACUGGAACAGGUUGCCCAGCAGAGCUGUGGAUGCCCCAUCCCUGGAGGCAUUCAAGGCCAGGCUGGAUGCGGCUCUGGGAAGCCUGCUCUAGUGGUUGGCAGCCCUGCCCAAAGCAGGGGGGUUGAAACUAGGUGAUCUUUAAGGUCCUCUUCAACCCGGGCCAGUCUAUGAUUCUAACUGUGGAAAGUUUAAGAUUUUCCAUGUUCAGGAUAGAAAUACCGUUAGAAACAUGUCUAACCACCACAGAGCAACUUAUCCCCGACUGUGUUCACAAGAUAACAGGGAGUUGUUUGGUGCUGAUAUAAAUUUGAACUUCUCAUAUAAUAAGUGGCUGUCCUACGCUACUGGCUGCUUUGAUGUUUCAGCAGCACAUUUCACUUUUUCUGUGUUUCCAGGAUGCAGAGCAGGUUGCAGUUUGUGCUUCUGUGUUCUCCCAGUUCACCCUGUCCUCACUUUCAGCAGACACAGGCUGCUUCAAACAGGACACAGAUUUGUCAUUUUUAUUUUUGGCAGCCCGUCCAUUAUUGUACCUUACUAAGUUCAAAUCCUACACAUGCCCCAGAGCACAUUCAGCAUCAGUUCCUGCCAAUUCACAUCUCACCUCAGCAGUCCUGGAGGUCUGACUCUGGAACCCUUACUGACGUGGAGAAACACUUCACUACUUAAGUAGUCUUCUUUCCAGACAACAAGCCAAUCUUGAUAUAUAGGAAAUCUCUCCAUGAACAAUCUAGCUAUAUCAGUUCAGAGGUAUAUGCAGAAAAUGAAAGGAUAUGUUAGUUUUUUGUUGUUUUUUUUUUCAGGAAAAUGAGCAUAACAUAAGAGUUGCUGUUGUGCAAUUAUGAGUGUAUACAGUGAUAAAAUGCGUUGCAAUGUUUACUGAUGUACUGUGAAAUUUCAAAUGACUUUUUUCAUUAAAACUUGAUAGUUCAAUUGGAAGCAAUGAGAACUACUUGCUAAUUUGACAAAUAUUUUCUGUCAUCUCUGCAAGACAGUUUUUUGCUUAGUUUUCAUUGAAGCAGCAGAGCAGAAAUAUCAUUUUAAACUUCAGAGCCAUUCAUCUCCAUUACUUUGUUAAUAUGCUGUGCCAUUGCCACAUCUCCAAUCAACCAAAACAUAUCCUGAAUAGUAGUAAGAGGAUCAGCAUCUUCCAAAAUAAUUGUCUGAUCAGGUAUGAAGCGUCUCUUUCAUGCAGAGUCUUUACAUUAAUGACAGGGAUUAAUUAGACUAGUUAGAAGUCAGGAAGAAGCAAUUCAUUCUCAGCAUAAUAAACUGCUAAUUACUAACUGAACA